CCUACGGGGGGCAGCAGUGGGGAAUAUUGGGCAAUGGGCGCAAGCCUGACCCAGCAACGCCGCGUGAAGGAAGAAGGCUCUCGGGUUGUAAACUUCUUUUAUCAGGGACGAAGAAAGUGACGGUACCUGAUGAAUAAGCCACGUCCAACUACAUGCCAGCAGACGCGGUAAGACGGAGGUGGCAAGCGUUAUCCGGAUUUACUGGGUGUAAAGGGGGGGUGGGCGGGAAAGGAAGUCAGAUGUUAAAACCAUGGGCUCAACCUGCGGCCUGCAUUUGAAACUGGUUUUCUUGAGUACUGGAGAGGCAGACGGAAUUCCUAGUGUAGCGGUGAAAUGCGUAGAUAUUAGGAGGAACACCAGUGGCGAAGGCGGUCUGCUGGACAGCAACUGACGCUGAGGCGCGAAAGCGUGGGGAGCAAACAGGAUUAGAUACCCGAGUAGUC
rnacentral:rRNA from 1 species